GAUGGACUGGACAGAAUGCUUAACACAGGCAAGUCUGACUUGAUCCCUUCGGGUGAAAGUUGCGNACGGUUGAGUAACGCGUAAAGAACUUGCCUUACAGACUGGGACAACAAUUUGGGAACGAAUGCUAAUACCGGAUAUUAUGACUGAGUCGCAUGAUUUAGUUAUGAAAGCUAUAUGCCUGUGAGAGAGCUUUGCGUCCCAUUAGUUAUUGUGAGGUAACGGCUCACCAAGACGAUGAUGGGUAGCCGGCCUGAGAGGGUGAACGGCCACAAGGGGACUGAGACACGGCCCUUACUCCUACGGGAGGCAGCAGUGGGGAAUAUUGGACAAUGGACCAAAAGUCUGAUCCAGCAAUUCUGUGUGCACGAUGAAGUUUUUCGGAAUGUAAAGUGCUUUCAGUUGGGAAGAAGUCAGUGACGGUACCAACAGAAGAAGCGACGGCUAAAUACGUGCCAGCAGCCGCGGUAAUACGUAUGUCGCAAGCGUUAUCCGGAUUUAUUGGGCGUAAAGCGCGUCUAGGCGGUUUAGUAAGUCUGAUGUGAAAAUGCGGGGCUCAACCCCGUAUUGCGUUGGAAACUGCUAAACUAGAGUACUGGAGAGGUAGGCGAAACUACAAGUGUAGAGGUGAAAUUCGUAGAUAUUUGUAGGAAUGCCGAUGGGGAAGCCAGCCUACUGGACAGAUACUGACGCUAAAGCGCGAAAGCGUGGGUAGCUAAACUAGGAUUAGAUACCCUGGUAGUCCACGCCGUAAACGAUGAUUACUAGGUGUUGGGGGUCGAACUCUCAGCGCCCUAAGCUAACGCGAUAAGUAAUCCGCCUGGGGAGUACGUACGCAAGUAUG
rnacentral:rRNA from 1 species